rnacentral:rRNA from 1 species
UGGGGAAUAUUGCACAAUGGAGGGAACUCUGAUGCAGCGACGCCGCGUGAACGAAGAAGGCUUUCGAGUCGUAAAGUUCUUUUAUAUGGGAAGAUAAUGACGGUACCAUAAGAAAAAGCCCCGGCUAACUACGUGCCAGCAGCCGCGGUAACACGUAGGGGGCUAGCGUUGUCCGGAAUCACUGGGCGUAAAGGGUUCGCAGGCGGAAAUGCAAGUCAGGUGUAAAAGGCAGUAGCUUAACUACUGUAAGCAUUUGAAACUGCAUAUCUUGAGAAGAGUAGAGGUAAGUGGAAUUUUUAGUGUAGCGGUGAAAUGCGUAGAUAUUAAAAAGAAUACCGGUGGCGAAGGCGACUUACUGGGCUCAUUCUGACGCUGAGGAACGAAAGCGUGGGUAGCAAACAGG